rnacentral:misc_RNA from 1 species
CAAAUCCAGCUCCAGGAACCCUCUCUACCUGCUUCUGUAUAACAGCCUCAACAUGGAGACCAUAAAAACAGGAUUAUUAAUCUGUAUUGUGCAUAUAUAGCCACAAAUCAUAAAAGAACCAAAUACACGGGAAAAUGAAACAAUAGAAACCUGUUACAUAAACACCUUUUACUUUCUUGCUUGGAGAGAUCAAUAUCUAACAAUUGAGUUUCAUUAUCGUUAACAGUUGAAUAACGUCAAAACCAACCAAAUUGAGACCUGAAAGAGGAUUUCCUAAGAAUAGGGAAGAGAGCAACAGUCAAGCUCCGACUGGCUGUGGCAGAGGAAAUGACGACACGAUAGGCGUUGAUAAGAGCUCUGCUCAAGUUCGCCAUUUUUCUUAAUCCGAGUUUUGAUUUGGAGGAAAGAAGAAACCUCGUUACGCCGUUCAAUAAACCAAGAAAAAAAAGUGAUGAGUCUUCUACGCUAGAAGAAUGCCUCCAACGGGAAAGAAUAGUGGGAGUAGAGAAGCAGUGUCGUGGUGGGCUCCAUUGGAACGAAAAGAAGGCAGCCACCACCAGGCCCAGGCAUAACCGUGG